UACGUAGGGUGCAAGCGUUGUCCGGAUUUAUUGGGCGUAAAGAGCUCGUAGGCGGUUUGGCAAGUCGGGUGUGAAACCUCCAGGCUCAACCUGGAGACGCCACUCGAUACUGCUAUGACUUGAGUCUGGUAGGGGAUCACGGAAUUCCUGGUGUAGCGGUGAAAUGCAUAGAUAUCAGGAGGAACACCGGUGGCGAAGGCGGUGAUCUGGGCCAGUACUGACGCUGAGGAGCGAAAGCGUAGGGAGCGAACAGG
rnacentral:rRNA from 1 species